CUGUUCCGAGUGUUAGAUUUCAACUUUUAUACAAGAGGUGUGUACAGCUAUUAUAGAAGGAUUAAAAUAAUACAUCAAGAUGCCGUCAGGAGUAACAGAAUGGAAACAAGUUGCAAAAGAUUUCGAGGGAAGAAGUUCAAUUUAUCAAUCGAUAUGAUACAUACGUAAUACAGAGAUAUGUACAUUUAUAAUGACUAAAAUAUUUUAUUAAAGAUACUUACGUUAGAA